UACGAAGGGGGCUAGCGAUGCUCGGAGUGACUGGGAGUAAAGGGCGCGUAGGGGGAAUGCACAGUCAGGCGAGAAAUUCCUGGGCUUAACCUGGGGACUGCGUCUGAGACGUGUGAUCUAGAGAUAGGAAGAGGGUCGUGGAAUUUCCAGUGUAGAGGUGAAAUUCGUAGAUAUUGGAAAGAACACCGGUGGCGAAGGCGGCGACCUGGUCCGUGACUGACGCUGAGGCGCGAAAGCGUGGGGAGCAAAUAGG
rnacentral:rRNA from 1 species